GUCAUCGUUGGAUCAAGCUAGAGGUGUGUGAACGACAGGUAGCGAUGUCAUCGUUGGAUCAGCUAGAGGUGUGUGUGUGUGAACGACAGGUUAUCGUUGGAUCAGCUAGAGGUGUCGGUGAACGACAGGUCUAUCGUUGGUAUCAG